rfam:Nosema bombycis CQ1 unplaced genomic scaffold NBO_969, whole genome shotgun sequence.
AAUUCUAAUUCAUUUUAGGAUAACCCUUUGAACUUAAGCAUAUCAGUAAAAGGAGGAAAAGAAACUAACAAGGAUUUCUUUAGUAGUGGCGAAUGAAUAAGAAAGG